rnacentral:rRNA from 1 species
CUACGGGAGGCAGCAGUGGGGAAUUUUGGACAAUGGGCGAAAGCCUGAUCCAGCAAUGCCGCGUGAGUGAAGAAGGCCUUCGGGUUGUAAAGCUCUUUUGUCAGGGAAGAAACGGUAUGGGCUAAUAUCCCGCACUAAUGACGGUACCUGAAGAAUAAGCACCGGCUAACUACGUGCCAGCAGCCGCGGUAAUACGUAGGGUGCAAGCGUUAAUCGGAAUUACUGGGCGUAAAGCGUGCGCAGGCGGUUUUGUAAGUCUGUCGUGAAAUCCCCGGGCUCAACCUGGGAAUUGCGAUGGAGACUGCAAGGCUAGAAUCUGGCAGAGGGGGGUAGAAUUCCACGUGUAGCAGUGAAAUGCGUCGAGAUGUGGAGGAACACCGAUGGCGAAGGCAGCCCCCUGGGUCAAGAUUGACGCUCAUGCACGAAAGCGUGGGGAGCAAACAGGAUUAGAUACCCUGGUAGUCCACGCCCUAAACGAUGUCUACUAGUUGUCGGGUUUUAAUUAACUUGGUAACGCAGCUAACGCGUGAAGUAGACCGCCUGGGGAGUACGGUCGCAAGAUUAAAACUCAAAGGAAUUGACGGA